rnacentral:rRNA from 1 species
GACGAACGCUGGCGGCGUGCUUAACACAUGCAAGUCGAACGAAGUGGCGAACGGGUGAGUAAUACGUGGGUAACCUGCCCUCCUUUUUGGGAUAAGCCUUGGCAACGGGGUCUAAUACCGAAUAAAGGGGGCUGGGCUCGCGGCCUAUCAGCUUGUUGGGGGGGCGAUGGCCUACCAGGGCGGUGACGGGUAGCCGGCCUGAGAGGGGGACCGGCCAAAUGGGGACUGGGAACCGGCCCAGACUCCUACGGGAGGCAGCAGUGGGGGAUAUUGCACAAUGGGCGAAAGCCUGAUGCAGCGACGCCGCGUGGGGGAGGAAGGCUUUCGGGUUGUAAAGCACUUUAAGUUGGGAGGCGUUACCAACAGAAUAAGCACCGACUAACUUCGUGCCAGCAGCCGCGGUAAUAC